rnacentral:tRNA from 2 species
AAGAAAAACUUGGAGUUAAUAAAGGCUUCUAACCUAAAUUAGAGAGGUUCGAUUCCUAUCUUUUCUUU